UCUCCGUAGGUGAACCUGCGGAGGGAUCAUUACAGAGUUCGUGCCCUCACGGGUAGAUCUCCCACCCUGUGUUAUUAUUACUUUGUUGCUUUGGCGGGCCGUUAGGCUCCGGCCCGACUACCGGCCCCGGCUGGUAAGCGCCCGCCAGAGGACCCAAAACCCUGAAUAUUAGUGUCGUCUGAGUACUAUAUAAUAGUUAAAACUUUCAACAACGGAUCUCUUGGUUCUG
rnacentral:misc_RNA from 1 species